UUGGAUCGGAGGGCUCAACUUUGAAACAUUUUGAGUUCCUCCUAAAAAGCUCAUACUGUAUAUACAAUGAUAUUACCAUUUCUUCAUUAUUGCGAGAAAGGAUUUGAUGGCCCAAAGAAUACACUUUUUGGAGGAUUUGGAGGAUGCAUGUGCACACUGUCCUAUCCACUGUUUAAGGUGGAACUAAUCAGUGGCUAUGAGAUGUAAAUUGAUGGACGAUAUGCUGGACGAGAGAGAAAACCGAAACUGGGAAGCUGCAGGCGGUGCUGUUAGCAGGAUGAAAAUACAAGCAGGGUGUGGUGCAGACAAACAUAGUUCAGGGUUGUUGUCCAAAUUAACGAAGGCUGAAAACGGGAAAAGGACUGUAGUGAAGCACCGAGGGAAUUCAAGAAGAGGUACAAAUACAAGCCAAGGCCAGAACUAAGAGGCAGUCUGCUGGGGAGAUCCAAAAGUUGAGGUUGGGACAAGACAAGCAUGUAUUGUCUGAGCAUUAAAUGUCACUUGGUGAAUGAUAGGCCCUGACUCACCUCUGGUUUAAAUGGAGUCUUACCUAUCCAUCAGGAGCUGUCAGUGAUGGAGCUUAGGAUAUUUUACCUGAUCGUUACAGUAUGUCAGGUUUUCUGCACUGUGGAUUGAGCUGCCUGAAAGAGAAGAAAGGUCUGUGAUCACAGGAGACCUUUGCCUAUCCUUCAAAGUCAUUGUAAUGGAUGCGUACCAAAAAAUCAGGAAACUGACUCCGAGGGACAAGUCCCAUUUCGGAAGGCAAGAUCAUGAGAAUUUCCAGGAGAAGUAACCUAUUAUGUGCAUCAUCAGAGUUGCUUUCCGUUUGCAUGGAAAUGAUAUGCAUGCACUGAGGUUGUACAGAGUUAACAUGGUGACAGCUGAGACUCAAAAUUGUCACCAUCGAUAGGCCAGGGAUCAUCUUAGGUAGUAGCAGAUAGAGCAGUGGAGUACUUUUUUCACUGAUUAUUGCCAUUUUGUCCUUAGUAUACAUGAUGAGAAACAGUGUACAGUAUAUCAGAGAUGUUUUGGUGAGCAAUAGAUUGAUCAUUGCUUUGUUCAAGCCGGUUGGUGGGGGACUGGAAGUGUGAUGAUUUAAGGAAGAAACUCCUUAAAUACAAAAAUGCAUUUUUUAUUGAGGGAAUCCUUAAUGUUCUGUGAUACAUAGAUGAAGCCAACAGUUUUUUCCUUUCCUGCAAACACCCCACAGUAAUCUGUCCAGAGGCUGAUCAAGUCAAUGCAUCUUUGCUGCCAGGAUCUUCCAUAACCCCUGAAGUUAAUACCACAAUGUACUGUACCUACAGUAAAUAGUACAUUACAAAUGUUAUAUUUGUAAGGCUUUCAUUUUAGCAGUGUUCUUUUUUUAUUUUAGAAUGUGUCAUGGUGAUGUAAUCUGUGGUUUUGUUCAGCCCGC